rnacentral:rRNA from 1 species
AUUGAACGCUGGCGGCAGGCCUAACACAUGCAAGUCGAGCGGAUGAAGGGAGCUUGCUCCUGGAUUCAGCGGCGGACGGGUGAGUAAUGCCUAGGAAUCUGCCUGGUAGUGGGGGAUAACGUCCGGAAACGGGCGCUAAUACCGCAUACGUCCUGCGGGAGAAAGUGGGGGAUCUUCGGACCUCACGCUAUCAGAUGAGCCUAGGUCGGAUUAGCUAGUUGGUGGGGUAAAGGCCUACCAGGGCGACGAUCCGUAACUGGUCUGAGAGGAUGAUCAGUCACACUGGAACUGAGACACGGUCCAGACUCCUACGGGAGGCAGAAGUGGGGAAUAUUGGACAAUGGGCGAAAGCCUGAUCCAGCCAUGCCGCGUGUGUGAAGAAGGUCUUCGGAUUGUAAAGCACUUUAAGUUGGGAGGAAGGGCAGUAAGUUAAUACCUUGCUGUUUUGACGUUACCAACAGAAUAAGCACCGGCUAACUUCGUG